UACGGGGGGGGGCAAGCGUUGUUCGGAAUUACUGGGCGUAAAGGGCUCGUAGGUGGCCAACUAAGUCAGACGUGAAAUCCCUCGGCUUAACCGGGGAACUGCGUCUGAUACUGGACGGCUUGAGUUUGGGAGAGGGACGCGGAAUUCCAGGUGUAGCGGUGAAAUGCGUAGAUAUCUGGAGGAACACCGGUGGCGAAGGCGGCAUCCUGGACCGGUAUUGACGCUGAGGCGCGAAAGCUAGGGGAGCAAACGGG
rnacentral:rRNA from 1 species